CUGUGAUAGUAUGAACAUAAACCAGUGUGACAAAGCAGUGAAUAUUGCAUCCUGCCACAAUCUGCUAAAUAUAACUUCCUGAGGUAAUCCUGUGAAUAUUUAUAGUGGAUUUUGUUUGAAUAAAAUUCCUGGCAAUUGUUGAACAAAUCAAUUCUAAAUUGUUUUACCUGGUAUAUUAACUGUGUAGUCUAUGGUGGGAUUGAUUCAGAAUCAAUUUGUUUCGGUUUUCAUUGAUAGGAAUUUUUAUUUGGAUAAAUCGCUUCAAACAGAAGUCUGAUUUGUAGCC